rnacentral:rRNA from 1 species
CAGCAGCCGCGGUAAUACGGAGGGUGCAAACGUUGCUCGGAUUUACUGGGCGUAAAGCGCACGUAGGCGGACGCUUAAGUCAGGGGUGAAAUCCCGAGGCUCAACCUCGGAACUGCCUUUGAUACUGGGUGUCUUGAGUCCGGGAGAGGUGAGUGGAACUGCGAGUGUUGAGGUGAAAUUAGUAGAUAUUCGCAAGAACACCAGUGGCGAAGGCGGCUCACUGGCCCGGAACUGACGCUGAGGUGCGAAAGCGUGGGGAGCAAACAGGAUUAGAUACCCCCGUAGUCCCUGUCUCUUAUAC